AGGACGAACGCUGGCGGCGUGGAUUAGGCAUGCAAGUCGCGCGACGCAUACCCUUCGGGGUUUGACGGAGCGGCGAACGGGUGAGUAACACGUGAACAAUCUGUCCCUACAUUCCGGAUAAUUGGCCGAAAGGCCUUGUAAUACGGGGGAGGACGGUGGUGGGGCAUCCUACUAUCGGGGAAGGCGCAAGCCGUGCAGGGAGGAGUUCGCGGAUUAUCAGCUUGUUGGUGGGUAAUGGCCUACCAAGGCGACGACGAUUAGC
rnacentral:rRNA from 1 species